rnacentral:rRNA from 1 species
AUUGAACGCUGGCGGCAGGCUUAACACAUGCAAGUCGAGCGGAGUGAUGGUGCUUGCACUAUCACUUAGCGGCGGACGGGUGAGUAAUGCUUAGGAAUCUGCCUAUUAGUGGGGGACAACAUCUCGAAAGGGAUGCUAAUACCGCAUACGUCCUACGGGAGAAAGCAGGGGAUCACUUGUGACCUUGCGCUAAUAGAUGAGCCUAAGUCGGAUUAGCUAGUUGGUGGGGUAAAGGCCUACCAAGGCGACGAUCUGUAGCGGGUCUGAGAGGAUGAUCCGCCACACUGGGACUGAGACACGGCCCAGACUCCUACGGGAGGCAGCAGUGGGGAAUAUUGGACAAUGGGGGGAACCCUGAUCCAGCCAUGCCGCGUGUGUGAAGAAGGCCUUAUGGUUGUAAAGCACUUUAAGCGAGGAGGAGGCUCUUUUGGUUAAUACCCAAGAUGAGUGGACGUUACUCGCAGAAUAAGCACCGGCUAACUCUGUGCCAGCCGCCGCCGCAG